CUUUAUAUAUAUACUCUCCACAAGUAUGACAGCGCAUUGAAAAUGGAGUCAUCAAACGAACAGUCAAUUUCCCACCAUUUGGUCCUUGAAACUUUUUCUUUUUCUUAGGAGGACGAAUGGAAGGAUCAUAAUCGGGCGGGAUAUACUUGUUAAGUACCUUUCGUUCAGACAUUGUUGGAAACUAUGAAAAAAAAAUGAAAUGAACGUACGAGAAUUGCUUUACCAAAUUCAAAAAAAAAGAAUAAAUUAAAGUAAGGAAAAUUUAACCGUCCUUUUGGGUUGGAAUUAUUUGACUUUACAGAUGAAUUUGAAAAUGCUAGUUUUAUGUGGAUAUGCGCUUUUUGUAAGCGAAUGGCAAAAGUACUAGUACUAUCUGUAGUUCUUUGACACUCGAUACGUCGCGGUAAUAAAUUGAAUGCGCACAUAGCACUACGUAAACAUAUUUAGUACCAUCCUUAUAUUUCCUUAUACAAUACCUGAGCUGAGCUAUCGAGACGUGAGCAAGCGUUGUUUGUCAAUCUUACACCUUCCGGUGUUUUAAGAGUACUUUAGAUUCCCUUAUAAAUUGUGUAUUAUUUAAAUGCUUCUGAUUAAUUUUGACUGAUCAGUCUCCAUAGUACUUUACGCUUACAGCAAUAGACAAUUAAUGGGGUUGUUGGCAUUAAUGGCAGGAAUAGAUGAUUUAUAUGAACUUGGUUAAAAAUCGCUGUAUUUCAGCUUAUGUUCGUCUUAGUAAAGUUGAUAGCAAUGAUCAUAAGAAAACACCUGCUAUAUUAAUUUAUCAUAUGUUCAUUUAAGUAAAGCUUGUGGAAGAACCCAAGUUUAAAAUGGUUUAAAAGAUAACUGUAUAGUAAUUACACAAUUGUCAUUUUUCGUUAGUUUAAUAACUAAAGCUUUGUGAAAAGAAAGACUGACUUAUAUGUACGUAUGUAAAUCAUUAAAACGAGAAGAAAAUAGCUAACGAUGUCCGCAACUGAAAAGAAUGAAAGCUGACCCGGGAUAUUCUGAACAAAUCUUUUUUAGCAGACAAUAUCGAAAUGGGAUUGCCUCCAUAUCGAGAUAAAGUGUUCAACUGGAGAGAGUAUAUGUGGAAAUGGUACCACCAAUUUAAUGAAAAUUCAACU